rnacentral:rRNA from 1 species
UACGGGGGGGGCAAGCGUUGUUCGGAAUUACUGGGCGUAAAGGGCUCGUAGGUGGCCAACUAAGUCGGACGUGAAAUCCCUCAGCUUAACUGGGGAACUGCGUCCGAUACUGGAUGGCUUGAGUUUGGGAGAGGGAUGCGGAAUUCCAGGUGUAGCGGUGAAAUGCGUAGAUAUUGGGAGGAACACCAGUGGCGAAGGCGGCUACCUGGACCGGUUCUGACGCUGAGGCGCGAAAGCGUGGGUAGCAAACAGG